GGCGGUGAGAGGAAGUCAUAUAUUAAUAGACAGUAUAGGUCGGGUAGCACUGAGUGGGUUGCGUCACAGCACCUGCAUCAUGGACAGCACCAGACUGCAGAAAACCGUCCAUUGUUAUCCUCCCCAGGCACGCUACAAUCUUAACUGGGCCAGUCCUGAGCUGCUUGCACAGGAUCUGUAUGGUUACAGUGAGAAGAGUGAUGUUUACAGUGUGGGCAUCGUAGUUUGUGAGUUAGGCAAUGGAGAAGUGCCAUACAGAGGUAUACCUUCAACUCUUAUGCUACUGGAGAAGCUGGAAGACAGAGUACCAUAUCUCUAUGAUGCCUCCACCUGUUCUCAGAAUGUAGAGAAUGGACAAGCAGGUGUGGCGACAGAUUCGGGUGUUGGUGGAAGUGUUGGUGAUAACCUCACCAGUAUGGCUGUCUCCCAGCGGCUCUUCACCUCUGCAGCCCACAGCUUUGUUGCACAAGCAUUAGAAUGCAUUCCAGAAAAUCGACCUUCUGCAGAGGACCUCCUCCAUCACCAGUUUAUCAGACACACGCGGAAGCUUAAUGGGACCCUGCCACAGUUUCUUCAUCCUGUUGUUCCUCUGACUCAACAAACAGAGAUAGGAGGCGAAAUUGUUGGAUGUGCAGUCCUGCAUAACUUGAGAUAUCAGGCGACUGGACAAGACAGCUCCUGGAACCUCAGAUAAGUCUGUUAUGUUAUAACUCUGGCCAUUGUUAUUUCAUGUAUAGACAGUGAGGUUUUCUGAGUAUGAUACAACUUAAUCUCCAGUUAAAUUGGAGACACUAUUCCAGACCUGCUAGAAAAAAGUUUAGAACAAAUGUGUUUAAGUGAUGAUAUAACUUGGGACUUUUAAUAUCUAUUAAAUAAUAAUUGAUGUGUAUUUUAGGAGAAUUUCUGUCAUUGUAUAAUUUCUGUAUAGUAUUUUCUGACUGCUAGUUGGCAAGGUUUUUUCACAAUUUUUUAAAAUUGUAGGAAAUGGAUGUUCCUUGCACAUCUCGGGGAUAAGUUGAUUUUAUACAAAAAGUAGUGUAUAAACAUAGUAUCAGCAGUUAUUACACAGCCAAAUUCAUCAUUAAUAAAUUGAGACAUACAGUAAUUAUAAAAGUUUUAUAUGAAGCUUGGAAAUUAAAAUAUGCUAUCUAUUUUUUUUUCCUCUGUACCCCAGGUGAGAGGUAUGAGAUGCAUAUGUUUCUGCCUUUGCUGCAAGAAUGGCAGCUAGCUAUACAAUUUGGCUUUAGUAAUGUUAGGCUUGAUCUAUCUGAAUUGGGCUUGUAGCAGCAUUUUAAGUUUAGACUAGAAGAGGUAAAUAAUAUAUAUGUAUAUAUAUAUAUAUAUAUAUAUAUAUAUAUAUACGUAUAGUUUCUUCUAAGCCUUGAUAUUUAUUUUGUGUUUGUAUAACUAUAUUACUUUCCCUAGUAUGUUCAAAUAAUUUCAAGUAGAGCAUGUUCAAAUAAUUUUAAAUAUGUUCAAAUAUGUUCAGGGAUAAGAGAGGAUGUUAUAUUUUCUUUCAAAUCGAGUAUGCCUAAUAGAUUCACAAAGCAUGAAAAUUUAUUUCCUGAAUACCAAGUUAAUGGGUAGGUUUAUCUUUGACAAGUUAUCUAAUGAUGUAUUUUGAAAUCAUUAGAAUUGCUACAUGCAAAAUAUUUUCAAUAAAUGAAUUUGUACCUGA